AUUGAACGCUGGCGGCAUGCCUUACACAUGCAAGUCGAACGGUAACAGGUCUUCGGAUGCUGACGAGUGGCGAACGGGUGCGUAAUACAUCGGAACGUGCCCGAUCGUGGGGGAUAACGAGGCGAAAGCUUUGCUAAUACCGCAUACGAUCUACGGAUGAAAGCGGGGGAUCUUCGGACCUCGCGCGGACGGAGCGGCCGAUGGCAGAUUAGGUAGUUGGUGGGAUAAAAGCUUACCAAGCCGACGAUCUGUAGCUGGUCUGAGAGGAUGAUCAGCCACACUGGGACUGAGACACGGCCCAGACUCCUACGGGAGGCAGCAGUGGGGAAUUUUGGACAAUGGGCGAAAGCCUGAUCCAGCCAUGCCGCGUGCAGGAUGAAGGCCUUUGGGUUGUAAACUGCUUUUGUACGGAACGAAAAGCCUCUUUCUAAUAAAGAGGGGUCAUGACGGUACCGGAAGAAUAAGCACCGGCUAACUACGUG
rnacentral:rRNA from 1 species